GGACAAAAAAGAUUGACACACUUUCAAUUUUUAAUAGUUAAGCUGACGUUAGCGUCCUCUUUGUGCGUGUUAAGAGUAUAGUUAGAUGUUAUUGAAUGUCAUGACAAGCUGGCUUGCUCCAUUAACUCCCUAUACUAUUUGUUUCUUGGUUGGUCAGGUAACUAUCUUGACAAUUCAUCUCUACUCUUUGGAAUCAAAGGUCUUGCACUUCCGGUAUCUCAAAGAUUCAACUUGCUGCAUCUGUAAGAACAUUGUUUGUUUUCUCACCAAGAAAGAAGGAAAACAACUUGUUUGGUAGCUUCUCCUCAGAGUUAUCAUCACAAUGUCUGGAAGUCCUGCAGUGCUCAUGCGGCUGGUGGCCUCGGCCCACACUGUGGCUGAGAAGGCCGGAGCCAUUGUGAGGAAGGUCCUCCACAGUGGAGAACUUGGCAUUGUGGAAAAGACUGGAGCUAAUGAUCUGCAGACCCUGGCAGACAGACUAGCACAGCAGAGCAUUUGCGCAUCGCUGUCCAGACAUUUCCCUAAAAUCACCAUCAUUGGAGAGGAGGACCUUCCAGCUGAGGAAAUAAAGGAAGAUCUCAUUGAGAGCGGCCACUCAGAGGAAAUCCUUCAGAAGACGUGUCCAGCAGAAUAUAUUGGGCUGAAAGAGGAGGAGCUAGUUGUGUGGGUCGAUCCCCUCGACGGCACAAAGGAAUACACUGAAGCAUCGAGGUGUCUCCAUCACCAAACUGAGGCCCAGAUACCAAACAAAGGGUCGGACACCUCUCAGCCUCCCUGGCAGUGGCUCCUGGAUAAUGUGACGGUGCUUAUUGGUAUCGCAUAUGGAGGCAGAGCUAUUGCAGGCGUCAUCAACCAGCCUUUCUACAACUACCAGCUUGGAGCAGGAGCAACUUUAGGAAGAACCAUGUGGGGAAUGCCGGGAUUGGGCGCCUUUGGAUUUCAGCUCAAGGAAGUUCCAGGCGACAGACGCAUCGUCACCACCACACGCUCCCAUAGCAACAAGCUAGUAACGGACUGUGUGGACGCCAUGGAGCCCCAUGAGGUUAUAAGAGUCGGUGGUGCUGGGAACAAGAUAAUCCAGCUUGUUGAAGGAAAGGCUUCCGCUUAUGUCUUCGCCAGUCCAGGCUGCAAGAAGUGGGACACCUGCGCUCCUGAAGCCGUUCUGCAAGCUGUUGGAGGUAAACUGACUGACAUGCAUGGAAAUGCAUACUGCUAUAACGCUGACGUAAAGCACAUGAAUUCUGCUGGCGUUCUCGCUACACUACGCAACCACGAGUACUACGUUAGCAGAGUGCCACAGUCGGUGCUGCAGGCUCUCAAGUCAGCUUGAGGUCUGUCUUCAUCAGAAAAUCACACUAAUUCAACUUCCAUAUAUGAAAAUAUCAUAAAAUCAGAGCAAAAAUAGAACACGAUGAUUUCAAAAUCACCCUGGACAUAGUGAACUACUAUGUUUUUAUGUUAUUCAGCAUUUAAUUAAUCAGAAGCAGAGAGCAGACUCAACAGCACCUUAAUUUAUUUCACUCGUUUCAAACAAACUCAUACAAAUCUCAAAACAUCUUUAACAUACUGUUUCCAACUUAAAGACUGAUAGAUUUACAAGGCAAAAGGCAAAAUUUGAAUAAAUCAAAAUACAUUGGUUAAUGUUCAUUUAGAAGUUGGAAUUAAUUUACUUCAUUCAAUAACCAUUAAAUGGGAACACUGUAUAACUAGCCAACAACAAACAAAAUGCCAUCGUCCCGCCUUGAUGAUUUGAACUUUUUAUGACAUCAUGCGAUGACUGGAAGUGAAACAAUGUUCAGUGUGUGAGAGAGGUCAACAUCUGCUGUUGUUUAAAGAUGAAUAUACUGACAACUAUUUUUUUAAUCCCAUACUGUAGGUCAGUUUCUGUUGUGGUCUUCACAUUUCUUUCAUUUACCUUCUUCUCUUGCAAUAGCAUCUCUACUUUUCCACACACCUGCUGUACUCACCAGACAUUUUGGAAAAUAUACGCUUAGUCGCCUUCUUGCCAAAUGUUAGAUGAGAAGAUCGAUACGAUAAGACGUUUUAUAUCUUGAAGAAAUUGUUAAGGAUUAAACAAACAAUGUGCUAAUUAAAGAGCCGGUCGGUGGAUUUUGUUAACGGAGCCAGGCUAGUUGUUUUCUCCAGAUACCAGUCUUUGUACUAAGCUAAGUUAGCCAACUGCUGGUGGUAGUUUCAUAUUUGAAAGACGGGAGUCGUGUUCUCUUCCCACUCCUUGCAAGAAAUAAGCAUAUUUCCCAAAAUGUAAAAAUUAUUCCUGUAAGCAGAAUACUACUUCAGCCAAUAUAGAAGUGGCUAAUGGCAGUAAUUUGGUUAAUCACGGUGAAAAUGAGAAAUUAUGAAUUUUACAUCGGCUAGAGCAAAGAGCCUGUCUCAAUCUCACAAGCGUGCAUGCGUUCAUAAAAUCACUAUGGAAAUUGUUAAUGUGAAAGAAGAGAAGCAUCUUUUCUUAACCUCUUGUCCAUUCCCACAAGAGUCUGGUUUAAAUAUUGGUGAAUGGCGUUGAGUAACAGAAGUGAGGGUAAUACAUACCAUGGCAU